GGCCUGGUGGUCUAGUGGUAUGAUUGUCGCUUCGGGAUGCUACGCCCAGAUAUCUUCGGUAUCGUAGAUUGUGACAGGCCCCGGGUUCGAAUCCCGGCCAGGCCC